GUUAAGAUUAAAUUAGAGGCUUACUCUGCCAUUUACUUGCAUGUAAACUUGGGGCAAGUUACUUUCCUAGGCCUCUUUAUUUCUUAUCUAUACAAUUUUAAUAAUCAGAAAAUUUACACACAUAUAGAUAAUGAAAAUUAAAUAAAGUAAUAGAUUUAGAUUUUUAAAUGAAAACUAUCACAUAAUUAUAAAAUAUGUAGAUGCACUACUGGAUUUUCAAAGGAGGUCCCUUUUGCCCCUUUGCAGGCAUGGAAGAAGUUCUCUAGAAACUCCCUUCUGUCUGGUGGCCAAGGAUCUUCUGGAUCAGAGAUUGAUAUUUCAAAUAAAUUUGGUCACAGCCACCAUCAAGGAAUGGCAGUCUCCCCAAUGGAUCAAAACACCUGAAACUGGUGAUCAACAACUUCCCAGUAUUACCGGGGGUCUUUGCUCACACAGCUCCCAAGAUGGCGGCAGGCCACUUCCAAGCUUCGUGUUCUCUGACCCAAGGUUCUUGGCCUCACGGAUUCCAAGGAAUGGAAUCUUGGGCCAUGCCAGUGAGUGUUAUAGCUCUAUUAGAAGCCAUGGGUCACGGAAGAGAACUGUGGAACCCAGUGACUAGUGUUCAGCUUCAUUAGGACAAACCCGGGCACUUAGGCAUGCAGGAACAAUGGCGAGCCUUUAGCCCAAUCAGAAGCAGCAACAGGUGCCUUACUGGGUCAGGAGCACAGUGGACACCCUGCCAGAUACAGAGGGAUGGAAGUCAGUGACGGUCAGCCACAGAGGCAAACAGCAGUGGUGGACGGGGAGCAAAAGCUCAGCUAGAGCCCUAACAAACACCGACCAGAAGAGUACAGUUGGCAAGAUUUAAUAGAGUGAAAACACAGCCCGCAUACAAAGGGAGGGGACCCAAAGGGGGUUGCCGCUGUUGGCUCGAAUGCCUGGGUUUAUAUCCUGAUCAUUGUCCCUCCUGCUGUGUUCUCAGGCAAUAGAUGAUUGGCUAUUUCUUUACUUCCUGUUUUUGCCAAAUUGGCAUUUUAGCGAGCUAUCCUUCCUACCUGAUUGGUCAGGUGUGAGCUAAGUUGCAAGCCCCUUAUUUAAAGGUGGAUGCAGUCACCUUCCCAGCUAGACUUGGGGAUACUUUAGUUGGCCUAGGAAAUCCAGCUAGUCCUUUCUCUCACCAGUAAGAUCUCAGGAAUUGGGCAAGUGGGCUCGAGCAUGCCAUUAAGCAGCAAAAUGGCAAAGUUUAACUGGUAUAUGAGCUUCUAGGGGCAUUCCACUGGAAAAGAAGAGAAUGGCUCAGGUGAGCAUGCAUACAACUCCAUUAAACACACUGUGCAUGCUCACCUCCCAAGGGCUAGCCCACCACCACACAUGCGAGCAGUUCACGCUAAGGGAAUAAUCAAGGGAAAUAGGAUGCAAGACUCUGGAAGUAUGCCAGCAUAUCAAACCCAAGUCAAAGGUCAAACCCCACGCUUGUACUCUGAGAUGCCUGCUUGGCCCUCUUCCAAGUGUACUCUACUUUCUUUUCAUUCCUGCUCUAAAGCUUUUUAAUAAACUUUCACUUCUACUCUAAAACUUGGCUCCAUCUCUUUUUCUGCCUUAUACCCCACAGUCAAAUUCUUUCUUCUGAGGAGGCAAGAAUUGAGGUUGCUGCAGACCCUUACAGAUUCGCUGCUAGUAACUCAGAUAUUCACCACCUCUAGUAAUAAGACCAGUAAAGCCUAAAAUGUCUACUAUCUCAACCUCUACAGAACAGCUCUGUCAGUCCUUAUUCAAAAACAAAGAAUUGUGUUUGUUUUCAGGCACCAUAGGGAAAAGAUUGCCCUCUCUCAAGCCUUUCUAAUGCCCUCCCUCCACCUAACCCCUGAGUAUGGUCAUCUCAUAUUGCUCAUGUAGAAACUCACAAGAAGGCGUAUUUGUUAGCCCAGCACACCAGACUUUUACAAAGUUUACUUUGUAAAAACAGUGUCACGUUUUAGGGAGUAAAUCCAAC
ensembl:lncRNA